UACGGAGGGUGCAAGCGUUAUCCGGAUUCACUGGGUUUAAAGGGUGCGUAGGUGGGUUGGUAAGUCAGUGGUGAAAUCUCCAGGCUUAACUUGGAAACUGCCAUUGAUACUAUCAAUCUUGAAUACCGUGGAGGUCAGCGGAAUAUGUCAUGUAGCGGUGAAAUGCUUAGAUAUGACAUAGAACACCAAUUGCGUAGGCAGCUUACUACACGAUCAUUGACGCUGAGGCACGAAAGCGUGGGGAGCAAACAGG
rnacentral:rRNA from 1 species